GGACGGGGCCCCCUUGCUCCCGGCGCGACUGUCGACCGGGGCGGACUGUCCUCAGUGCGCCCCAACCGCGUCGCGUCGCCAGGGCGGGGACCGGCUCACGUAAAAGGCGUCAGGGGUCAGCGGCGAUGUCGGCAACCC
rnacentral:rRNA from 1 species